AGAACUUUCCAGAGAUGGAUUGGUGCCUUCGGGAACUCUGACACAGGUGCUGCAUGGCUGUCGUCAGCUCGUGUCGUGAGAUGUUGGGUUAAGUCCCGUAACGAGCGCAACCCUUGUCCUUAGUUACCAGCACGUUAUGGUGGGCACUCUAAGGAGACUGCCGGUGACAAACCGGAGGGAAGGUGGGGGAUGACGUCAAGUCAUCAUGGCCCUUACGGCCUGGGCUACACACGUGCUACAAUGGUCGGUACAAAGGGUUGCCAAGCCGCGAGGUGGAGCUAAUCCCAUAAAACCGAUCGUAGUCCGGAUCGCAGUCUGCAACUCGACUGCGUGAAGUCGGAAUCGCUAGUAAUCGUGAAUCAGAAUGUCACGGUGAAUACGUUCCCGGGCCUU
rnacentral:rRNA from 1 species